AUGAGCUGGAGAUGGGGGCACAAAAGGACACUAAGCCACCCCAGAUUGUUACGGCACAGUGGUGCCACUGUGUGGGCAUCAACACGAGGAGUUGAUGCAACUGCAACACAGGGCGGCAGCGGCAUGGCGACUUCAACACGAGUCCUGGUGAGAAUUACGCGGGAGCUAGGAUAUAGAGCCAGAUGUUGUGCAACUAAACUUUCAAUUGUGUCGGUUGAUUCUUGUGAAAGCGGCACAAAGCCUCAUAACAGAAGAUGA
rnacentral:rRNA from 1 species